rnacentral:snRNA from 1 species
AUACUAGGAUUUAACCCG